ACGCUCGACACCUACGGGAAGCAGCAGUCGGGAAUAUUGCGCAAUGGAGGAAACUCUGACGCAGUGACGCCGCGUGCAGGAAGAAGGUUUUCGGAUUGUAAACUGCUUUAGACAGGGAAGAAAAAGGACAGUACCUGUAGAAUAAGCUCCGGCUAACUACGUGCAGCAGCCGCGGUAAUCUGAGCGGGCUGGCAAGGC
rnacentral:rRNA from 1 species